CAAAAUCUAAUUAAAUGGAUUGAUGAUGAAUCUUUAGGCAAGGAUGUGUUGCUGGAGAAUUCCACCUUUGUUAAAUGGUGGAAACCCCUUCCUCCUGAGUAUAAAUCAGAACCCAAAUCAUCUCGCAUUAUGAAACUCAUCCAUGAGAAAGAUUGAGAGGGUUUCAUGCUGUUAUCUCGAGGCAUUUGUUCAAAGCCAAUAAACCCUGUAAAUAAGCUCUAGCUUUGACUGCUCUCUUGAUAACCGAAAUGUUCUUGAUAAGUCCAUUAUUUACUAGUAAGAUGGUUUUCUUCCUGAGUGUAUGCAAAAUCCUGUUUCCUAUAUUAAUACAUAACGAUCCAUUCUCAAUCGUGUAGAUAAUAUCACUGUGAUACCCCGGGUCUUAGGUCCCACUAUGUGAAAAUCAAGAAUGAAAAUGACUAGAUACCAAGAGGUAAUGCGCAUGAUUUUUUCAUACAAACAAACAAGUAGGUUGUACUUCAACACAGAUGAAGUUUGCGAUUUGAAGUUACAACUAUCUAAUAAUAAAGAUGAUGAGAAGGCAUAUUUCUUAAGAAAAUGGCCAUGAUAGCAUUUAGCAGAGGAUACUAAUACAGAAGAUUGAAAAUGGGCUGGUAAAUUAACGGACAGAUGAACGCUUGAUGUGCAUCCUUGGCCGAUCGAUAUGUAUAUGAAAUUAAAUGCUGUGACAAAGACCUAGUUAGCUCCACAAUGAAAAAAGAAGCCCUUGCCAUAUGACUACAGAGGCCCUGUCACAGACUCACAGUUCAACUACAACCAGUUCCUUCCUAGCUUUCAGAACUUUCCAUAUUUAAAAAAUAUUAAUUUUAUAUUUUAUAGUUGGUAGUUAAAUUCAUAAAAAUAAUAAUUAUAUUUUUCUAUAUUUAAAAUAAUAAUCAAUAAUUAUUUAAUAUUAAUAAUAUUUAAAUUUAUAAAGUGUGGAAUCAAGAAGUUUCUAGGAUAAUACUAAUAAAUGUUGGAUCCGCAUUUUUCACAUGCAUUCCCACUCAACGACGAAACUCAUAUUUAUUUAAGGUGAAAAACUGUAUUUUAUAAGAAACUGGAAUCGCUACUUAUUAUUAUUUUUUAAAAGGGAAAAUAAGGAAAGAUAGGUUUGUAAAAACUGAGUUAGAUUCGGAGGUCAAGUUACCUAUUGGGAAGAUACAGUGGCUAAUCGUAGCACCUUUCUAAGCAUUACAAGUCAGGUCUCUAUUAAUAAAACUAAGACAACUAUGACAAUUGGUUGAUCAAUUUAUGGAUACCUAGCAAGAGUCAAAAUAUACUACGACCAAAGCAUGUAUCAAAAGAUAAUCGAAUGAGUAAAGAAGGAAAGGAGUGUACCUGAGUAAUAAGUCAAAGUGUGCUUCUAUGGAAAACAAGGUUAAUAAAUAAUAUAAGUAUAAAAUAUCUCAUGUCAAUCACAAACAAAAUCAAUCAAUAUUAAUCAAGCAAAGCAAUUAGAGGAAGGAGUGUCAUGGAUGUUGGGCCCAUCAAGGCCCAAUUUAUUUUUACAUGAAUUAAUUCUAUAAAUUCCAUUAUUUUUGGAAUCAUAAAAUUUAUUUAUGCAUUAAAAAUAGAGAAAAUCAAGAAAAACUACAUAAAAAAAAAUGUGAAAUGUGCUUGCCGGGGGGAAAUAUGACAGCAAUGUUUAUAAAAAUCGGGAUUUUAGUGCCUAAAAUAGUCUAAAGAUGAACAUUUAAAAUUGGGUUUAUUUCAGUCGAAAAUAGUUUUGAAAAUUCAAUUUAAAAACCUGUAAAUUCUCACCAAGAUAGGAAAAACACACCAAGAGGAAGGAAGGAUGACUUAAGAAUGGUGCACCAAAGGUGGCAAUGGUGGAGUGGGGCUCGUGGGUAGGCAGGCAUGUGCAUUUCCAUAUCAGAAUCCCUGUGCUGCUGCUCAUUCUCCAGGAGUCUGUAAGUCGCUUCACCCCUAUUCCCAUGCAGCAGAAGAGUGCUUCAAUUGUCUGGUUUUGCAGCUCUCACCCUUGUGUUUACUCCAAUUCAAGAUUAUCCCCCUGCAUCCCAAUCUCUCUCUAUGCUGACUCAAGCCGAGCUUGCAGAAUCCCAGUCGCAGAAUCAUUCCUUUUGAGCUCACAAAAUUAACCUGGUAAUCUCUUCUUCCCAGAACUCUAGUUUUUUAUUGUACUCAGUGGUCUUCCUAAGCAAUUCCUCAUAGCUAGCAUCAGUUCCCACCUUUGGGAUGCAAUCUGCGCUCCAUUAGAGCCCCAUCUUCUCCCAUAGAACUCGCCCAGGUUACCAAAUUCAUUCCUGCCAUAGCUGAGUCCUCCAUUAGGCAGCAACAAAUACAACACUUUAAAUGGAUUAGUUUCCAGAUCAAAUUGGAGGACAUACAGAAUGCUGUCAUCUAUGGGCAGCUUUUCGAGUUCAAGAGAAUUUUAAUGGCCACGUGAUAAGGGAUCUUAGUGACAGUCAACAUUCAGCUAAGCAGAAAUCUGGAGAGGCUAUAGUAGUGAUCAGCAUUGUCGCCCAUCCGUACAUUCACCUUGACAAAAUUGUAUUUGGAGGAAACAUUCUGAAUGGAGAAUCAAAUGGUUGGGAGAGAGGAAUCAGAGAUGUCUUCUUCUGGGGUGUCAGGGUUUGGACAAGUUGUGUGAAGACUGCCAGGUACUGAGGAUACCAAGGCUGGGAACAAGAACUGGUCACAUGUACACGGAGAUGGCCAUGCAUGUGGAUUGCAUGCACAUGGGAAAGAUGGUGCAAUAGACUUCGCUAAAUUCAAGCUUCUUGGAUAGCUUGCAACUUCAUCCAGAUAAAAGAUGCUUUCUGCUUCACAUAGAUGUAACAAAAUUGAUGGGGAGAAGAGAGUUGACCACUUCAUCUCCAUUAACGUCACUCUCAAUAUCAGGAGGAAUUUCUUCUCUUGUUAACGAGGAAUCUGAUCUCUUCAAAGACUGUGGUGGCUCUGUUGAAGCCAUUCUUAAAUUGUACAAUGCUCAGACUCCUUCAAGUUGGUCACGGCCUCCAAUACUAGAUUCCCCAGCCUUACGAUGUACCCUCUUUGAACCAGUAAUCUGCUCAGGGUUGCCAGGGAAGGCAAGGGCCUUAGCAUCGACAGUUUGAUCAUCACUUUGAACUAUUGCGCUGAGAGGCGGAGAAUUCUCCUGGUUUAGGGCUUGUUGGCACCCUUCUGUGGGCCAAUCUAGACUCCUCUCUUGAGCCCCAUCCAUUUUCCAUCACAUUCAUGUUCCUUCAUUGCCCAUCAACAAUAAAUCUGUACUGAUAAAUACCCGAGGGGAGCAUUUUCAUAAUGGUGGACUAUUUCCUCAUCUCUGCAAGGGUUUUCUUAUCUUCCAAUUAUCCCAUAAUUCCUCCGCAGCUACUUCCUUGCUAUCAUAGCUCCAUGUAAUCAUAGUUGGAAUUCCUUGCUCACUGCACACCACCUGACCUUGGCCACUCAUUUCCAAGUCUCAAAACUCUGCCUUUCUCACCCUCUUUUACUACCUUUGAGGCUUUGCUGCAAAAGAUCAAAACUGUAGGCUACCUCAUGCAAUGGCACACACCACCCUUUCUCAGAUUCCCUUAUUAGCUUGUGGAGAAAUUUAUUAAAUUUCACAUCAAAGGCAAGAAAAUUGGAAGGGGACAAUGAACCGCAGAUGGAUGAGAGAAUAAUGGCCUUGUCGUUGCAUGUUCAUGAGCAGCAUGAACUGUAUCCUUCAUUUCAGGAACUGAGGCCCUAUGACCUCCAGACCUGAAGGCUCAAUGAAUAGUCAAAGAUUUGACUUCCUGUAGGCUUGCCACAUCCUGAACAGACCUGAAUUUUCUCUUCUUCCGGGCCUUUUCUCAGAAGGUGGUUCCUUAGCUGUCUUGUAUGUCAGAGGCAAAUUGAUGCCUUGGAUUAAAAGAGUCUGAUGACAGAGUACUAAGAUGCUCCUGAUUGAAACGGAACACUUUCAUAGCAGCAUAUUCAAACUACCACAGAAUUGAGCAUCAGGAUGAAUUAAGCCACUUUACUUCAUCAACUUUUUGCACUUUCCAACAGUGCAGGACCAUUUUCCUUGCCAUUGCUGAAAGACUGUUGAUGAGCGCAAUGAUCAUUGAAUUACUGGUGGAUUUUCAUUGUGGGAAACCUAAGCUGAUUAAGCAACAAACCCAAACUUUGACUAGCUUGAAUUGAUAGAUCUCCAACAUUGGAUACAGGAUGACCUCUUAGGAGCUAAAGAUAUAUUAAAUUCCACAAGCUUUCCUUCAGAGGGCUGAUCAAGAGGUGUAUCUAAACCUUAUUUGGCAUGACCAACAAGCUGUCACUUUCACACGCAUAUUCUAAGCAUCUUCCCAGAGGCUUAACAGAAAAGGGAUCUUCAGGUUUACAGAGGAGGGAAAGGAAACCCUGCUUUGCAUUCGGAAAAGUUUUGUUGCUGUUGACAUCUUCACCAUUCUGAGUACUUGGGACUGUUGGUGCAGGUGUGGAGCAACCAGAAAAGUUGUUACUCAGACCCAAUAUUCUCAAUAGCACUGCUUAAAUUUGCCAGGCUCGAGAACAAAAAUGAGAGGUAGCUAGUUCUUUUGAUGCUUCCCUGCUAAAUUUGCCAGGCUCGAGAAUAAAAAUGAGAGGUAGCUAGUUCUUUUGAUGCUUCCCUGCUUGAAUUUGGAGUAUUUGAACCGGCAACAACUCUAUCAAUCCCAAGGGUAGAGAUCAGCUUCUCAAUUAUAGUGACUUGUGACUCCCAGAUCAGUGGAGAUCCAUCUUCAUGACCAGAGAUUGACCAUGACUCCACCUCAUGAAUGAUGAAUUCCUAGAGCCUCAUCUGUUUGAUGAAGGUGAAGUUUGAUUAGUAGGAGUUUUGAGUACUAUUUGAUAGUCUCUCUUCAUGCUGUGGGGGGUUCACUACAGGUUGAUGAUCAUCAUGAGAUGAGCUCGACAUGCUCACUCCUUAUUGGAUUUAUACUCCGAUACUGAUGUAGCCUUCAAACUCCACAAAUAAGCUAUACUUGAACCGAAGACUAAGGAUGACUAAACCAUCACCUCCAUCCUAACUAUGCUGGCGUUCAAAUACUACAAAAUGAUAUUUCAAUGGUCCUGCUUUCAAACCGCAAUUCCACACCUGAAGACGUUUCUCACCGAACCAAAGGCAACGGUGGUAUUGGCAUUAUUGGACAUACAAAUGCUCUGCAUGGACCCCAAACCACCAUGGUACUUCAAUGUCAAGGCCCAUGGCCAUUUCUGUUGUCCAUGAAAAUAAUCUUGAAGGGCUAUACAACUUUUAGCAACUCUUUAAAGGAUGCAAUGUGUCUGGAAGAUUGAAUUGAAGAUGAAUGACAUUUGUAGAAUCAACAGAUGAGGUUGCAUUUCUAGAGCCUCUUUCUGGAGGCCUUUCUCCAAGAAUUUUUCCAUGGCUCUCUGUUGUCAUCUUCUGCACAAUAGGAGAUGAUUUCACAUCCUACAGCCACUUGCUCCUGUUAUUAUGCUUCUGUCACCCCUCUCACAGUUUUCUUGCAAGAUACAAAUAACUCUCUCCACUGGGGUCACGAAUCUGUGGCAAUGAGCCAAAACACAGCCCUCUCUUCUCAAGCGUAGAUCAGAACACAAAACCAAUUGUCCAUAGCAAAUCGAAAUAUGUGAGCCAGAAACAGGAUAUGGAUUGAGAUACUGGAAAUAGAGAAGUGAACAAAACAAGAUACAACAUACCCAGAACAAAAUAAACAAGUAAGCAAAACAUUAAAUGGGAUCCCUUUUCAUGUUGAAAUCAAUGGGUUCAUAGAGCAGUGGUGCAGUAGGAAAGUUCAACACAAAUAUCAAAAUGAGGUCAUCAACAAACUCCUACUGUAAGAGUGAGCCAUAUUCAGAUUAAAAAAUACGAAAGAAGAGCGGUACAACAUCACAUCCAUACCAAAAAUAAUAGAUUUUCUCUAAUUAUCUAAUUAGACAGCUCACGCCAACACUCCCCCUCAAGUUGGAGCCUAGAUAUCUCUUAUGCCCAACUUGUCAAGUGAGUUGUAGUAGUUCCUUGCAGACACUGCUUUUGUGAGUAUAUCAGCCAACUGGUCUUUUGAUUUAACAAAUGGAAGCUGAAUAAUCUUUUCUUCAAGGUUCUGUUUGAUGAAGUUUCGAUCCACCUCAACGUGCUUAGUGCGAUCAUGUUGGAUUGGAUUGUGGGAGAUAGCAAUGGCUGCCUUGUUAUCACAGAACAGGUUCAUUUCAUAGCUGAGAGCAACACCGAUCUCAACUAGCAGCUUUUUAAGCCAAAGAAGCUCACAUAUUCCUUUGACCAUUCCCCGAAAUUCAACUUCAGCACUAGACAAUGUAAUUACCUUUUGUUUCUUGCUCCUCCAUGUAACCAGGUUGCCUCCCACAAAAGUAAAGUACCCUGAAGUAAAUUUCCUAUCUGUGAUGUUCCCUACCUAGUGAGCAUCUGUGUAGCCAACAACAUUCAAAUGACCAUUCUUUGAGAACAUAAGUCCUUUCCCAAGAGAGGACUUCAAAUAACGAAGGAUCCGCAUUACGGAAUCCAUAUGGUCUUCACUCGGGCAAUGCAUGAACUGACUCACUACACUCACAGCAUAACCAAUAUCUAGUCGAGUAUGAGAUAAAUAGAUGAGUUUACCCACUAACCAUUGAUACCUCUAUUUGUCCGCUGGCACCUGGUCUACAUAUUCUCCAAGUUUAUGAUUCUGGACAAUUAGAAUAUCAACAGGCUUGCACCCUAGUAAUCCUACAUCUGCCAGCAAGUCUAGUAUAUAUUUCCUUUAGGAAAGAAAUAUGUCUUGUCUUGACCUUGCUACUUCAAUGCCUAAAAAAUACUUAAGCCCUCAUAAGUUUUUCAUUUCAAACUCAGUUGACAAUUGCUCUUGAAGCUUAGAGAUUUCUUCUACGUCAUCCCCUGUGAUGAUCAUGUCGUCUACAUAGACUAUGAGGGCUGUUAUUUUUCCCACUUGAUGUUUUAGGAAGAGUGUAUGAUCAGAAUUGCUUUGUUGAAAACCAUAUUUCCUCAUUGUCGAACUAAACCUGCCAAACCAUGCUCGAGGUGAUUGCUUUAGUCCAUACAAUGCCCGUUGUAAACUACAUGCGAUCUUUGCCUCUGAGGUAGCAGUAUAACCUGGUGGAAGAUCCAUGUAAAUUUCCUUUUCAAGAUCACCAUGGAGGAAGGCAUUUUUCACGUCCAGUUGGUGCAAUGGCCAAUCUAAGUUUGCUGCAAGAGAUAAUAGAACUCUAACAGUUUUUAGUUUGGCUACAGGUGAGAAAGUUUCCUGAUAAUCUAUACCAUAUUUCUGUGUACAACCCUUUGCUACCAACCUUGCCUUGUAUUGAUCAAUAGACCCAUCUGCUUUGUAUUUAAUAGAGAAAAUCCACUUGCACCCCACCGUCUUCCUUCUUUCAGGCAAUACACUCAAAACCCAUGUGUUAUUUUUCUGCAACACCUCCAAUUCCUCUUUUAUAGCUUGAGCCCAUUUCGAAUCUGAUAAAACUUCUUCAACACUACUCGGAAUUUGACAUGAGGAGAGUGUAUGUGCAAAUGCCCUAAGAGGUUCAGAUAAUCUUUGAGUGGACACAUAAUUGGCUAUUGGAUACUUGGAUCGUCGUUCUUCUAUGUCUGGGGAGUAUCAAUUUGGUGGCUUGCCUCGAUUGUGUCUGAAAGGUAGAACGUAACCCGUAGAUGUAUCUAUAGCAUUAGUUUGUAAAGGUGUGAUAGAAAAGCUUACCUCAGGGAUAUUCUCAGAAGGAUGGUCGUUGGGUACUAAAGAGUGAAGGGAUUCAUCAGAUUCUGCAUCUUCCGAUGAUUCAGGUACAAGUUCAACUUCAAUUCUUGGAGGUUCAACCAUGUCGUUGCCAUCAUUCGGAUGUGCUAGAUUGUCACCAACGUCCAGCAUUUCAACAUCCAACCAAUUUCUUUCUUCACCAUGGAUCUCUCCCUGAAGAGGAGAAUUGGAUACCAGUGAUGGGAAUUUUUUUUCAGAUUCUAGGAAGGUGACAUCCAUGGUGAUGUAGGUUCUUUUAGCAAUGGGAUCGUAGCAUUUUUUGUACUCCAUACCCCAAAAAUAGACACCAGACAGCACAUGGAUCCAACUUAGUUCAUUGAUUCUUAUGGAUGUGAACAAAAACAACACAACCAAAAAUUCGAGGAGGAAUCAUCAAAACAUUAGGUAAUGAGACAUGAUCGGAAAGCACCUUAACCAGAGUCUGAAAUUGUAAGACUUUGGUUGGCAUACGGUUCAGUAGAUGCACGGCUGUGGCAACAGCAUCACUCCAGUAUCUAUUCGGCACAUGUGCAUUGAUCAAUAGAGCACGGGUAGUUUCUAAGAUAUGUCUAUUCUUCCUUUCAGCAGUACCAUUCUGUUUGGGGUUUGAGAACAUGAGGUUCAUGGAGAAUACCAUGACUGUUGAAGUGUGUCUAGAAUUGUUGGUUAACAUACUCCCCUCCAUUGUUAGAACGAAGGAUCUUAAUUUUUGCAGAAAAUUGUGUUUGAACCAUGGUAUGAAAUGAUUGGAAAACAACAAAUACUUCAUCUUUGUGUUUUAGGAGGUAAAUUCAUAUCAUUCUUGUACAGUCAUCAACAAAAAUUGCAAACCAACGGUGACCAGAAGACGUAGUAACUGGGGAAGGUCCCCAUACAUCAGAAUGGAUUAAAUCAAAAGGAAUCAUACUUUUAUUCAUACUCAAGGGAUAAGAAGCUCUAUGACUUUUGGCUAAGAUACAAGUAUCGCAUUUAAAAUUUAAGUGUGAUACUUUGGAAAAUAAACCAGGUAGUAAGUGCUUCAAAUACCCAAAAGAUGGAUGCCCAAGUCGAUGGUGCCAUAACCAAAUAUGUCUUUUCUUGUUACUAACUGUGUGGUGCAUGUGAUUUGCUCUUCCCGAACUGAAGUCAUCAACGUAGUAUAAUCCCCCCCUCUUAGUACCACGCCCAAUUAUCUCCUUGGUAAGAAUAUCCUGAAGAAGGUAAAAAGUAUAAUACAUUACUACCACACAAUUAAGAUCCGUAGUAACUUGACUCACAGACAUCAGUCUAUUUGAAAGAGAAGGUACAAGUAAUGUAUUAGAUAAUGAAAGGGAAGGAGAUAACGUCACUGUUCCCACCCCUGUAAUCGGAUAAGCGACCCCAUUGGCAUUUUUAACACAACUCCGUCUCGAUUGAGUUGCAUUAGAAAAAUCAUUUGAAUAAAAUGUCAUGUGGUAUGUAGCACCAGAGUUGAGAAUCCAGUCAUCAUCAUUAUUGUGAGUAGAGAUAUGAAGUGUCUUACCAGAAGUACCAGAAGUACUUGGAUCAUGUGAAGAUUCUACUUGAGGGAUGAGGGAUAAUGAAGGAUCACAAGUAACCACGACAGCUCUCCCAGUGUGGUCAUCAUUAGCAAAGGUUUCACGUUUUUUUCGUGCUUGAAAGUCGUUCCACCAAUCUGGAUACCCAUGUAGUUUGAAGCAGGUGUCACGGGUAUGUUUGGAGUUGCCACAAUGUGUACACUUCAUGCCAUCAGAUGGUGGUUUGGUUUUGGAUUUUCCCCUGCUUAGAGAAAGAGCCCCUGGUUUCGGUGUUGUCUGGUAGUGACUUCCCUUGAUCCCUUUGGAUAUCAUAACUCCUCCAGGAGUGGUAUCUGUACCUGAGAUCAUCACAAUCUGCCUGACAUCUUCCUUACGAACAAAAGCGUAGGCCUGUUCCACUGUAGGGAAUGGUUUUAAUUGGAGCACAUCACUCCGAGUUUUAUCUAGUCUGUCAUCUAGUCCAUCAAGGAAAGUAUAAACCCGAUCUUCUUGUAGAAUCGAGUUGUAUUUCUGUAUGUCAAUAGCACACUCCAUCGGGUUAGGACGACGAAAAUCGAUUUCUUGCCACAACCCUUGAAGAUCGUUGUAGUAUUUUUCAAUGGAUCCACCCCCCUGCUUCAUACGAGUAACACGACGCCGGAGAUCAUAGACUUGAGAUGAUACUGUCCCAUCAAAAUAGGUUGUAGCAGCAGAAUCCCAAACCUGUUUUGUAGUUGGGAAGCGGAUAAAGUUGGCAAUCAAGGAAGGGUCCAUUGAAUUGAUCAACCAUCCCUUGACAAUGGCAUUUUCGGUUCGCCAUAUCCUGAGUGAAGGAUCGGUUUUUGGAGGUUGAGGGGAAUCUCCAUUAAUAUAUCCUAACUUGUCCUUGCCAGAGAUAUACAUCUCGACAACCUGGGACCAUAAGGCAUAGUUGGAUCCUUCCAACUUGAUACCGAUCGGAGCAGUUGAGGAAUCGGCAAGCAGAGGUUGAGGGGAAGUUUGGGCUCGAGUCAAGACUUCCGUCAUUUUUGUCGUCAGAUCGUUAAGGAUGGAGUUGGUAUGGGGAAUGAGAGAUUGUGUUAGGUCUCCGGAUUCCACCAUGGAUUCUAUUGGGUCUGGGUUCUUUCCUGGUCAAGCGACGCCGUAAAAUGACCACGUCGGCAAUGGCGCAAGCCUGUCAGUUGGAAAAUCCGUCGGGGUCGUCUCCGACGAACUCUGGAGAGGAUCUGGGGUCGACUUCGACUUCGUCUCCCAAGUCUGUGGAGACUACGACGAAGGUGCAGUUUGCUGGAAGGUUUUUUUCUUCUUUUUUUAUUUGAGUUGAAUACCAUCAUAUAUAGAUACAGAGCAAAGGAAUUUUAGGAACCUAUUCUAGCCUAUACACAGGUUGUGGUAGAAAUUGUAGAUCACGUUUGAAGUAUGGAAUUUACAUUAAUAGAUUUUCUCUAAUUAUCUAAUUAGACAGCUCACUCCAACAAAAACAAUUUAACAAUGCCUAGAAAAUUAGAAAUAACCAGAGAGAAUGAAAAAAAAAACAGAGUGAUAAGUGAAAAUGAGCAAAGAAGCUACAAAAAACGUACCUGAAAAUGCUCCCUCCAACGAGAAUAGUUGGGCUUCAAGCUGCUUUGUUUCUUCUUUCAAACCUCCAGAAAACCACAACAAAAUCAACUUCCCUUUCUCUCCCUUGCUCCUAAUCACCCUGCCUAGAAUCCUCUCUGCUCCCUGUUUUCUCUCUAACCCCCAAUUCCGAAGAAUCCCACCAUCACUCCAACCAACCUCUUAGCAAUUCCCCCUGUUUCCACUCUUUCCAUUUCUGUUUUUCCCCUGUCUCCACUCUCCCCCGACCCACACUCUCAGAUACUUUCCUGCUCAAGACUCCUACUUCUCUCUAAAAAAACGACCCGCCCAAAACUUUGCCACAUGUCGCUCUCACUGGCUCCCUUUUCUCUCUUAGUAAGUAACUCACCAAAAAGACAAAAAUUCACGCUCCACCAUUUUGCAGAUCCUCCUUGCCCACCUAGUUUGCCACGACUCCAAAAUAGAGCUUAAGUCCAAAAUAAUCUGUUGGUAGAAAAAAAUGGUAAGAAUAGUAGUCAUCUCAAAAUAUUUGUCAAAGUAGUAUUUUCUAUCCACGUAAUCAUUCAUGCGAGUUUUUUUAGUGUAAAAAACCACCGUUACUAACUGUGAUUUUAAAAGUUUCAGAAAUAUCUUUAAAACCACAGUCACAGAAUGUGGUUUUACAAUUUUCCUCGUUAGUAACUGUGGUUUCAUAAUAUUUUUAAACCGCCCCUGUUUCAAUGGUAUUAUGAUUUUAAUAUUAUUUUUUAAAAUAUUUUUUAUCAUAAUAACCAUAAAACCACAGUUAGUAACUGCAAUUUUAAAAAUAUUCUGAAAACCAUGAUCAGACCAUGGUUUUACAAUUUUCUUUAGAACCACAGUUACUAAUUGUGGUUUCACAAAUAUCUUUAAUGAGAACUCGUGUAACCAUACAUCAACUAAAAAAAUAUAUGGGAUUUUAGAACUUUGCUUUUUUCUUUUUAGUUUUAGUGUAAAAUGGGAAAAAAAUAUUGUUUAUUCAUGCAUUUCGAUAGUACUUUCAAAUCAUUUCACAAUUACCCUCAUAAGUGAUAUAAGAUUAUAAAACUUUGUUUUUUUAUUUUUAAUUUUAGUGUAAAUAGGAAAAAAUAUUGCUUAUUCAUGCAUUCCAAUACUGCUUUUAAAUUGAUUGUGAAUCUAUUUUUUUUUUUGGUUAAAAUCUUUAAUUUUUAAUUAAAAUAAAAUAUAUUUUUCAUUAAAAAAAAUGUAAUUAACCUUUUAUAUUAAUUUCAUAAAAAAUAGGUACACCCUUAAAAAAAAUAGGUAUAUUCAUGCUUAGGGGAACCGGAACCACUAUCAUACUUAUCAUGGUGUAUAUUCCUUUGGGACCCUCGAUAAGUAAUCAGAGGUCCUUGCCCACCCCAAAACAAACUUUGGAAUCCUAGGUAUAUCAUUUCUUAGAGGAACCAAGACCCCUAUUUCCAUUAUCAUGGUUCAUAUAUUCCUUUGGGGACCUUUGAGAAUGAAUUGGAGGUUGUUCCCCACCUUAGAAUGGACAUUGGAACCCAAGGAACAUCCUAAAGAUAAUUUGGUACAUCAUUUACAAAAAUUGGUACAUCUUUCACAAAAUUUGACACAUCCUUAAAACAAUGUGGUACAUCCAAUCCACGAGCCACCAAGACCUCUAUAUUAUUACCCAUGGUUCGUUUAUUUCUUUAGGGAUCUUUAGGAAGUAAUCAAAGGUCAUUCCCUACUCUGAAACUAACUUUGGAACCCUAGGUACAUCCUUAAGGAAAUUUGGUACAUCAUUAAGAAAAUUUGAUAUAUCUAAUCCUUGAACUAACGAGACACAUAUCUUUCUUCCCAUUGUCUAUUUAUUCUUUUAGACAACCUUAGGAAGUGAUUAGAGGUCGUUCCCCAAUUUGGAACAAACUUUGGCCCCCUUGGUACAUCCUUUACAAAAUUUGGUAAAUAUUUUAUAAAAUUUGGUACAUUCUUCACAAAAUUUGGUACAUCCUUAAAAAAAAUUGGUACAUCUAAUCCUUGAACUACUAGGACCCCUAUCUUAUUACCUAUGGUCUGUUUAUUUCUUUAAAUAUCUUUGGAAAGUAAUUGAAGGUCGUUCACUACUCCGAAAUGGACUUUGGAACCAUAGGUACAUCCUUGAGAAAAUUUGAUACAUCCAUUACUUGAACUAACAAGACACCUAUCUCUCUUUCCAUGGUUCAUUUCUUCCUUUAGAGACUCUCGGAAAGUGAUUAGAGGUCGUUCCCCACCUCGGAACUGACUUUGGCAACCUUGGUACAUCCUUUAUAAAAUUUGAUACAUCUUUUACAAAAUUUGAUACGUCCUUCACAAAAUUUGGUACAUCCUUCAAAUAAUUUGGUACAUCCAAUCCUUAAGUUACUAGGACCCCUAUCUUAUUACCCAUUGUCCAUUUAUUCCUUUAGGGAUCUUUGGAAAAUGAUUGAAGGUCGUUCCCUACUCCGAAAUGAACUUUGGAACCCUAGGUACAUCCUUGAAAAAAUUUGAUACAUCCAAUCCUUGAGCUAUUGGAAUCCCUAUCUUAUUACCCAUAGUCCAUUUAAUCCUGUAGGAAUCUUUGGGAAGCAAUUGGAUGCACCAAAAUUUCUUAACGAUGUACCAAAUUUCCUUAAGGAUGUACUUAGGGUUCCAAAGUUCGUUUCUGAGUAAGGAAAAUUUCUUACAAUUUUCCAUUGUCAGUUUUAAAUUAUUAUUUUUUUACAAAUCAUCCUUAACAAAUUUUUUUUUUACGACUGUUUUAAAAUUAUAUUUUUUUUUCAUAUUUUCCUUGAAAUUUUGAGAAAAUAAUUUUACCGACAUGCAUUCCCAUAAAAUUUUUAUAUAUUUAUGGUAAAUAAAAUAUUUAUUUGUUUUAUGAAUUUUAUCACAUAUGAAUUAAAGAAAAUUGUUUUUUCAUAUUAUUUUUAAAUUUUAAAGAAUAUUUUUUAUAAAGAAUAUUUCAAAAAUAAUAUUAUGAUAAAGAAUAUUUUUAAAAUAAUAUUAAAAUUACAAUACCAUUGAAACAGGGGGUGGUUUAAAAAUAUUUUUGAAACCACAGUUGCUAAUUGUGGUUUUAAAGAAAAUUGUAAAACCAUAGUAAUAGACUGUAGUUUUAAGGAUAUUUUUGAAAAUUUUGAAACUACAGUCAUCAACGAUGGUUUUUUACACUAAAAAAAAAACUCACGUGGAUGAUUACGUGGAUAGAAAAUACUACUUUGACAAAUAUUUUGAGAUGGGUACUAUUCUUACCAUUUUUUUUCUACAAACAGAUUAUUUUGGACUUAAACUCUCCAAAACAUGCUCCCGCAAAAAGAAAAUCUGAUUUUUUUUUUCUCCUAAAAGAAAGAUACCCAAAAACAUGCUAUUUCCCGCCAGCUACCCAUGAAAGGAUACAUCUCAAAAGAGCCCUCCCAAAAUGGGGGUCUAUAAUAUGUUAUAUCAUUUAAAAUUAAGGAUUAAUUGAUUAAAAAGAUGAAAACAUUCCAAAAUACCCUUCAACAUUUUCAUUAUUUACAUGUGUAUUUUAAAAGAAAUGGUUACUUUUACAAAAUAAAUAAAUAAAUAAAAAAUGAUGAGGGCAUUUUUAUCAAAAAUGAGUAUUUUUUAGAUUGAAAAAAUGUGAAGGGUUAAUUUUCCAAAAUGUCCCUAUCCUUAAAAUUAAUGCUCAUUGGCUUAUAAGGGACCUGACCUCAUCCAUUGAUCUAAGCUUAUUUUUGCCCCGUAUUUAACACCUGGUUUUUAAAAAGGUUAUUGUGGACCCGAUGUUUUCGCUUGAUGCAUUCCCACUCGAUGGUGAAACUCGUUUUUUUUAUUUUUUUUAUUUGUGAAAAUUUGAUUUUUAGAAAAAAAACUUGGAGUCGCCACUUAUUUUUGAAAGGAAAAAGCAAUAAUAAAAAAGAAAAACCCUAAAUGUGACUCUGAAGGAAAAAACAAGUCUACGAAAAACCGAGUCUGGGUUCAGGGGUCAGGUUACUUAUUGGGAAGGUAUAGUGGUGAGUCGUAACACCCCUCUAAGGCCGUAUACGUACGACCUCUACUAAAUGAAUUAAGGGAAUUAUGGCAAUUAACUAAUUAAUUAUGGAUACCAAGAAAAAUAAUCAUACAAAUGAAUCUGUACAAGUCAUGGUGAAAAUCAAUAUACACAAAAAUAAUAAUGAAAUCUAAUUACAAGAAUACACAAAAUAAAUGAUAAGAGAAUUAUGUAAAAUAAUUUAUUGAACUAAAUGAAAAAAAAUGGUAUUAAAAAAAAUGGCUUUCAAGAAAUUUCAAAAGGAUUUUAUUAAAAACAAUUUUGAAUGAGUGAUUUCAAUUUAUUUAUUUGCAAAAUAUUUUCUUCAAGUGAUUUGGUUCAAUUUCAUUUGUAUUUAAUUUUCAAAAAAAGGUUAUUUAUACUUAUUAUAUCAAAUAUAAUUUAUUACAAAAUUUCAAUUUGGCAACAAAAAUUACUUUACAAAAAAAAAAAAAAAAUUUUACAAGUUUGUUUGCAAAAGUAUUUCAAGUUUUUUCAUUUAAGAAGAGUGAUUUAUACAAAUUAUUUAAAAAUGCAUAACUUCAUGUGCAAAAAGAAUUUUAAUUAAAAAGAAAAAAAAUAUUUAAAUAAUCUAUUUCUAAAAAAAAUACUUUUAAUUCCAUUUUAAUUAAGGAAAAAGAAUUCAUUUAAAAAAACAUUUUUUGGACAAUUUUAUUAAAAAUAAAUUUUUGGGGCAACUUUAUUUACAAAAAAAAAUUUGGACAAUUUUUAUUAAAUAAAGAAAUUUUUGGACAAUUUUAUUAAAAACAAAUUUUCAAAUUCUAUAAAAAAAAAUUCUUUUGGAUUUUUAUAAAAGCAUUUUUCUGAAUUUUUAUAAAUAAAAAAAACUUUCUUUUGUUAAAAAAAAAUAUUUUAAAAUUAUUAUUUUAUUAAAAUAUAUUUAUUGAAUUCUUCCUCUCAUUUAAACAAAAUUUCUAGUUUGUUCGAUAUUCAAUUCUGUACACACUCAAUAAAUAUAUACAAGCAAAUAUCUACAAGAACUAAUAAAAAUAAAAUCAAAUAAAAGUGGAAAAUAAAAUAUGUACCCAAAUAAACUUAUAACAAAUUCAAUGUCUUCCUACGACUUUUUUAUUAUCACUUUCUUUCAUGAAAUUUUGUGUUCCACGUGUCAUAAAUUCAUACUCAACUAACAAGAUUGUAGAAUAAGUCAAUGCAAAAACAAAAAUAACUCAUAUGUAAAUAUCCAAAAAUAUGUAGGGUUCAAAUAAUAAUUCAAGCCCAAAUUCAAACUUUAAAUUAGCCCAAUAAAUUUUAACAAUUAAAAAUGUGUCCAAAUUAACAAAUAUAACCCAAUAAAAAUAUCUCACAUAUCAUAAACCCUAACAUAAAGUUUUCAAAUUAAUAGCCAAAACAUAAGCUCAAUUAAUCAAACCCAAUAAAUUAGGAUAAAUCUCAUUAGGCCUAAAUUUAAUAUUUCAUAAUCCAAACCUAAUUUAAUAUACACCACAAUUGUCUCAUGCCCAAAUUAAAUAGUUCAAAUUAGUCAAACUCAUAUAAAAUAUUAAAGUCAUCCAACAAAUCUCACCCACAUUAUGGGUCCAAAAUUCAUAUAAGUUAACAAGCCCACAUCAAUAAUAUACAUGGCCAAAUGAAAUAAUAUUUCAAGCCCAAACAAAUAACCAAUUAACAAUAGGAUCAAGUCCAAAUAAACAAUAUAUAAUUGAUAUAAUCCAAAUAUCUCAAAUUAAUCACCAAAUACAAUAUAACCACAAACCCAAAUUAAAAAAUUUUAAAUUAAUUCACCAAUAAUAAAUUAGCUCAAAUUUCAUAUUAAUUUACCAACAACAAGUUAACCAAAAUUUCAUAUUAAUUCAACAAUCCUAAUUUCACAAACAACAAUUACUAUUAAAAUCAAAUCAAGAAAAAUAAUAAUAAUAAUAAUAAUAAUAAUAAUGGAAAAUGAGUGGGAUGGGACAACAAGGGAAUGAGAGAAAAUGGGAGGGGGUCGCCGGCUGGUAGUGACUCGCCGGUGGCGACUACAAGGGGCUCACCGGCGGUAGUGAGAGAUUGGGUAUGGUGAGAGGGGAGUAGAAAAUAAUAAUAAUAAUAUAAUAAAAUAAAAUAAAAUAAAAAAGAAAUGAAAGAAAAGAAAAUAAGAAGAAAUCAAAAGAAGAGUGUUCGGAUGGAGAGAAAGGGAGGGAAAAUGUGGGAAAGAAAAAAAAAAUGGGGGCUAGUCACCGCAUUUAGGAGUUAGAAGAAAAAAAUGAAAAAAAUGAAGAGGGGAAAUGGGGAGGAUGAUUGAGAAAAAUAUAAUAUAAUAUAAUAAUAAUAAUAAUAACAAAUAAAAAUAAAAUAAUAAAAACUAAGAAUUAAAUGGUGAGUGGACCAAAAAACACAUGUAAUCGGGAUUUAAAAUUUAUUGACAAAAUUGAGCUCAAAAUUAAUGUAAAAAUAAAAUUAGAACAAAUUUUGGGGUCAUAGUUAUAUUUGAUUAAAAUGAUUAUUGAAAACUCAAUUUUAGAAAUUUAACAUUUCAUCAUUUUUUAUUAUCUCAUUUUAACAAAAAUGUUCUUAUUCUUUUCAUGUAAAAAUAACUUUUUAUUUUAAAACCUACAUGUAAACACUUGAAAUGAUAAAAAAACUAUUUACAUCAAAAGCGGGAUACUCUUCAAACAAAAAUACAAGAAGGUUUAAAUUCACAAAUAUGAGGAUUAUUUCACCAUUUUUAACUAAUUAAUUUUUUUUCAAAUUGGCAAAAUGUGAAGCUAGCACGAUUAACAUUAGUAAAGUAUCUAAUUGCUAAAGAGAAUGGUAGGAUUUAUUGACCUAACUCAAUUUAAUAUAUGUUAAAAUGGUGACAUUUUCUAAUUAUAGGCAUAAAAAAAUUAGGAGAAUGACAAAACUUAGUUAUUUUUCUCAAAAAUGACAUUAAAAAAAAAAAAAAAACAAGGUCCUAAUAUAGUCUUAUAAACUACAAAAGAAAGAAAUUUGAACUGUUGUACACCAAGGCCUAGCCUUGCAUGACAAAUAAAUUGGCAACAAAGGAUUAUGGUUUUGGAAAAAAUGAAAAGAAGGAAAGGAUAAAACAUGGAUUAUUUAUUUACUAAAAACCGGAGUCAAGAGGUGGAAGGAAAUCAUGUUUAUGAGAGUUAUCGCCAUGAUUGGACUUGAGCUUCUAGCACAUGAAGUAAAGAGCUGCUAGUGGUACCUAUUAAAUACGAAUAUGAUUGGUACAUUGUCGUUAUGUGGGUUGGUGUUAGAUAAUUUAUUAUUUAUUUAUAUUUAUAUUUAUAUAUAUUUUGGGUUUACUAAGCUUUGGACAGCCGUUGGGUGUUAAUCUCACACUUUUAAUAUUAGUAUGGAAAAUUUGAGCUUUCACACGACAAGGAAAGGUGGCAUUACAGCCAAGCAAUUUAAUUAUUAAUUAGUUACUGGAGUCGGAGCUUCCUAUAACUAAUUUUUAAAAAGAAAAAGUGGGAAAUGGCGCCUCCAACAGUCAAAAAAUGCCGUUUCAACCGGGGCUUAAAAAUGGGCCUCCCUCCGCUGUCAUUUCCACGCAACUCCAUUGCAACGACGGAGUAUUAUUCCAUCCCCAUAGACCACCAUCCAAGUCAACUAAAAGUCUAGAUCAAUUACUUGUUUUAGUCACCAGAAAUUACCAAUAAACCACUCACGGUCUUGUUAUAAACCAAGCUGCAGCGUCACCAGAAACUUCAAAUCACAAGAGAGAAAAUUUGCAUAGAGAGAAUAUGGGAGAAACACUUGAUCGUAUUGGAUUGAGCGGAGAAGUCAUUAAUGCAGCUGCUUCUCUAGCCAUGAAGGCUCACGAUUCCACUCGCGAGCCAUUUCUCCUCAAGAAACCCCGUGGCUUAUCCGUUGCUGUUGUUGCAUUUGCUGGAUCUUGGCUUCCCGAUGAUUGGUGUGCGGAGACACCUUUUGGAGAAACGACGAUAGAUGCUGGUACCUUUCCUUCGCUUAAAAGUUUAGGCGAUGACGGAGUCGCUCUGGUCAACGGGUCGUUUCUCCGGCGAUUCAAGGCAAUCUUAGGCCAAUCAUCACUUGCCGAAAAGGUACUUCAAUUCAACUUAUGCAUAGAUAUAUGAAAAACGAUCUUGUGAAUUUAAAAUGUGGAUGUUGGGGUUGGAUUUUUCAGGUGAAAAAAGUAAUUGGAGAGAAGAAGCGAGUUGUUUUCACCGGCUACUCGUCGGGUGCUCCGGUGGCCAUCCUGGCAACUCUAUGCCUCUUGGAGAAGCCAGAGCCCAAUCAGAGCCCACCCCGCUGCGUCACUUUCGGAUCCCCCCUCGUCGGUGAUCGGAUCUUCGGUCAUGCUGUCAGACGGGAGAAAUGGUCCGACCACUUCGUUCAUUUUGUUAUGAGAUACGAUGUGAUCCCUCGGAUUAUGCUUGCCCCUUCAUCCACUGAGCACAAACAAAUUCUCGAUUUCUUCAAUCCCAGAUCUGAAUUCUUCAGAAAACCCAUUGAUUCUCCUUUAGGUUUCUAUUCCAGCGUGAUGAGGAAUGCAUCCUUGGUUGCAAACUAUGAUGCCUGCAAUCUCAUGGGAUGCAGAAUCCCGGCGUUGGAAACUCUAAGGAACUUCAUUGAGCUCAGCCCUUAUAGACCUUUCGGAACUUACAUCUUCUGCACGGGAAAUGGAAAAUUGGUUGUCGUAAGGAACUCGAAUGCAGUACUGCAGAUGCUGUUUUACUGUGCUCAGUGGACCCAAGAAGAAGCUGCAGGGGUUGCACAAAGAAGCCUAUCUGAACACUUGGCUUACAAAGAUGAAAUACAAGAGAGCUUAGGAAUGCAGAAUGUAGUCUAUCUAGAUCGUCUGGAAGAGAUUCCAGUGUCUUCAGAUGGCAGUCCAGCCACAGUCAACACGGCCUUGAAUGACCUCGGCCUGGUGAGCCUUCUUCCUUUCUUCUUAAUUACCUUACUGCCAAACUACAGAAUUUUAGCUUCCAUGUCUGUAAAUCUCAAUUGAUGUUCUAGUGUUAUGGAUUGCAGAGCCCACAAGGAAGGCUAUGCCUUCAAGCUGCAGGAGAGUUGGAGAAGCGAAAGUCAAGAAAUCAGGAUAAGAUCAUUAAUGAUUAUAAGCAAAAGAUUGAAGGUGAAUUAAGAGAGCUGAGAAAGUACAAGGAAAAGGCUGAGACUUGUGGACUGGGCUACUAUGAUUCCUUUAAGCUCAACAAAUACGAAGAGGACUUUCGGGCUAAUGUGAGCAGGCUUGUGCUAGCUGGUUUCUAGGACGAGAUGAUGGAAAUGUUAAAAGCGUAUGAACUUCCGGAUGACUUUGAGAAGAGCCAUGACUUUAUACGACUUGGAACCGAUUAUCGCCGCACGGUUGAGCCUCUAGAUAUUGCCAACUUCUAUCGACACGCCAAGGAUGAAGAGACAGGAUUCUACGUGAAAAAGGGUACUCGACCAAAACGAUAUCGAUACAUCCAAAAUUGUGUUAAAGUAUAUUGUAUUGUGGGCUCUAGGCCCAGGGGCCCAGUUAGGUUACUUGUAUAGUACUUGUACUAUACACCUGUACUACACCUUUGUACUACACUUGUACUACACCUUUGUACUGCACCCUUGUACUACACAUAUAUGCCUCCUAUAUAAAGGCACUGAUGUAUACUCUUUUACUCACAGAAUAGAAUACAAUUAUUCUAUAUUUCUAACAUGGUAUCAGAGCCACUGCUCUGACCUCUUUUUUUUCUUCUUAGCAGUCUUGUCUUCAUUAGUGUGACUUCCUUUUUCACUAAGCGCUUCCGCCAUCACAACUGCCGCUGUAGCCUCUUGCCGUUGAACCUCCGACGUCAUCCAGUCGUCAUCCCUGGGUUCCGGACCUGCAACCUCAGUCAUUAAGAAGUCUCACACUGCACAGACCACUGCCCCUUUGCAUCAUCGCUGCGAAUAUUGCUCCGAUUUCACUUUUGAAGGUACCACUGAGAUCGUCCAGCGCCGAUCUACACAUUCGUGGAUAUCUCGCCGCCAUCGGAGACCGCACGCGCCCCUCAAAGAUUCUGCAACGCCUCCACGUGCCUUCACGCGCCCCCACGCGCUGCCACAUCAGCACUAGCUCGUCAGGCCUCCACGCGCUGCCACGUCAGCCCUAGCUGCGUCAGCAUCCACUGAUCUGCUGACGUCAUCUCCAGUCGUUGACCGUUGACCAUUGACCGUUGACCACCGUUGACCGUUGACCGAACAUUGACCGUUGACUUUGACCGUUGACCGUCCAAUUGACUUUUUCCCCGGCCAGGUUCUCCUUACCCAGUUUUUCGUAUAGAUUUCAUUUCUGCAGUCGGUUUUUGCAUAUUGCGUCCCUAAAUGGAUAAGAAGGAUGUUUUUCUUCCUCGCCCCAUCCAUACUGUAUUGGAGGGGACUAAAAAUUACUUAUCCUGGUCUCAAGCUAUGCGCAGUUUUCUUAAGAGUCGCAUGCUCUGGCAUUAUUGUACUGGUGCAAUGACUAUUCCUGUCAAAGGAGCAAGUGAAGAAGAUGCUGUCUUUCUUAGUCGCAUGAUUGAAUGGGAUAGUCAUAACCACAUGAUCCUCACAUGGAUCCGGAACACUUCCAUUCCCUCUAUUUCCAACCUAUUGGGCAGCUUUGACGAUGCAAAAUCUGCAUGGGAUAUGUUGACCAAAAGGUACUCCACUACUCAUGGAUCCAUGAAAUAUCAGUUAGUGGUUGAAUUGCAUCAACUCAGGCAAGAACCGGGGCAAUCCAUCAAUGACUAUUAUGAUCAGCUUCGCUUCAUUUGGGACCAAAUUGACCUUUCUGAACCAACUUGGGGAUGCUCCACAGAUGCUCAGCAAUAUGCUACCAUUAGAGAUGAAUUUCGCCUCUAUGAAUUCUUGAUGUCACUUCACAAGGACUUUGAGCCCAUUCAUGGUCAGCUGUUAAAUCGCAGUCCUGCUCCCUCUCUUGAUACUGCUGUGAAUGAGUUGGUUAGAGAAGAAGCUCGUCUUGCAACCCUUCAAGCCCAGAAUAAGCUCAAUAUUUUGGCUAUUACUCCAUCUACUCCACUCAUAGAGCAACCUCAGCAAUUAGGUGAUUUUUCUGGCUCUAGCAAUCGUCGCAAGCAAACCAACAAGAAGUUCUGCAACUAUUGCAAGCGUCCUGGCCACACCAUUGAGACUUGUUACCGUCGUAACAAAUCUACUGCUGCUGUUGCUAAUACUGCACCUACUCCGCCAACGGUUUCCACGUCCUAGUCUUCUGGAUCUACUAUCAACCUCUCUUCCACUGAACUACAGGAGAUCAUAGCUCAGGCUGUUCGUAUGGUUGGUAAUGCAUCUCUUUCCACUGCCUUAUCUGUUCUACCUGGUAAGUCUCAAACUUGGCUCUUUGAUUCUGCCUGCUGCAAUCACAUGACACCUCACUCAUCCCUGUUCACCAACCUUGACCCUGCACCACAUCCUCUAAAUAUUCAUAUAGCCGAUGGUUCCACCAUGCAUGGAAAUAGUCUAGGUUUUGUUUCAACCUCUACCCUUUCUGUUCCUGGAGUCUUUCACGUACCUGACCUAUCCUAUAAUUUGUGCUCUGUGGGACAAUUAGCUGAACUCGGUUAUCGCCUUAUUUUUUACUAUUCUGGGUGUAUUGUACAGGAUCCGAGGACGGGGCAGGAGCUUGGGACCGGUCCUAGAGUUGGGCGUAUGUUUCCCGUGAACAAUCUUCAUCUUCCACCUGUUGCUCCUGUUUCUAUUGCUGCUGCAACAGCUGCAGUUUCUUCCUUACCUUCUCUUGCGCUUUGGCAUUCUCGUCUUGGUCAUGCACCAUCUUCUCGGGUACAACAGUUAGUGUCUAGAGGUCUGUUGGGUUCUGUGUCUAAAGACCAUUUUGAUUGCACUUCAUGUCAGUUAGGAAAACAACCAGCUUUGUCUUUCAAUAACAGUGACUCCAUUUCUAAAAGUAUUUUUGAGUUAAUUCAUUCUGAUGUUUGGGGACCUUCUCCUGUUGCUAGUAUUGGUGGAUCUCGAUAUUUUGUUGUUUUUAUUGAUGAUUACUCUCGUUAUAGUUGGAUUUUUCCUAUGAAAUCUCGUUCUGAAAUUUUAUCAAUAUAUAGCAACUUUGCAAAAAUGGUUGAAACUCAAUUCUCCAAACGUAUCAAAACCUUUCGAUCUGAUAAUGCUCUUGAAUAUACUCAACAUGCAUUUCAAACUCUGUUACAUUCCUAUGGCACUAUCCAUCAUCUAACCUGUCCAGGUACCUCUCAGCAAAAUGGUCGAGCCGAAAGAAAACUUCGUCAUAUUCUUGACACUGUUCGUGCUUUACUUCUUUCUGCCAAAAUUCCUGCCCCAUUUUGGGGUGAAGCCAGUCUUCAUGCUGUUCAUGCAAUUAACCGCAUUCCAAGUACUGUCAUCCAUAAUCAGACUCCAUAUGAGCGUCUCUUUGGGUCACCCCCUAACUAUCAUCACCUUCGCUCCUUUGGAUCCGCUUGCUUUGUUCUUCUUCAGCCUCAUGAGCACAACAAACUUGAGCCUCGAUCUAGACUCUGUUGUUUUCUUGGUUAUGGCGAAACUCAAAAGGGGUAUAGGUGUUAUGAUCCUGUUUCUCAUCGUCUUCGCGUUUCUCGUAAUGUUAUCGUUUGGGAACAUCGAUUGUUUGUUGAACUCUCUCACUUUCGUUCUUCCUUGACUAACUCCUCUGUUUUAGAAAUCUUUCCCGAUGAGUCUCUUGUUCCUUCUGCAAAUACUUUUGAUCUUCAUUUAGACUUCUCUCCAGAUAUCUUUGAUGCUUCUCCUAGACAGGUUGCAGAUGAACAGAUUAUUCACGAGCUACCCCACUUUGAGCCUGGGUCCCCUGCUCCUGCUCUGCCUGAAGAUCCUCCACAAGACAUUCCACCUCGCCACUCAACCCGGGUAAGAUCCAUUCCUCCACACCUCCUUGACUAUCAUUGUUACACUGCCCUUGCUACACUUCAUGAGCCUCAAACCUAUCGUGAGGCCUCUACUGACCCUUUAUGGCAGAUUGCAAUGAAAGAGGAACUUGAUGCAUUAACCAAAAACCAUACUUGGGACCUGGUUACUCUCCCUCCUGGACAGUCUGUGGUUGGUUGUAAGUGGAUCUAUAAGAUCAAGACUCGCUCUGAUGGAUCCGUUGAGCGCUAUAAGGCUCGUCUUGUUGCCAAAGGUUUUACACAAGAGUAUGGGAUUGAUUAUGAAGAGACGUUUGCUCCAGUUGCUCGUAUCUCAUCUGUUCGUGCUCUCUUAGCUGUUGCUGCUGCUCGUAAAUGGGAUCUUUUUCAGAUGGAUGUUAAAAAUGCCUUCCUUAAUGGGGAUCUGAGUGAAGAAGUCUAUAUGCAACCUCCUCCUGGUCUCUCUAUUGAAUCAAACAAGGUUUGUCAUCUUCGACGUGCACUUUAUGGUCUCAAACAAGCCCCACGUGCUUGGUUUGCCAAGAUCAGCUCCACUAUUUUUCGCUUGGGUUACACCGCCAGUCCAUAUGAUUCUGCCUUAUUUCUUCGUCGUACUGAUAAAGGCACUAUUUUGCUUCUUCUCUAUGUGGAUGAUAUGAUCAUAACUGGUGAUGACCUUAGUGGCAUUCAAGAACUCAAGGAUUUUCUCAGUCAGCAGUUUGAGAUGAAAGAUCUUGGACAUCUCAGCUAUUUCUUGGGUCUUGAAAUUACUCAUUCCACAGAUGGUCUUUAUAUUACUCAAGCCAAGUAUGCUUCUAACCUGUUGUCUCAAGCUGGGCUCACUGACAGCAAAACAGUUGACACUCCAGUUGAACUUAAUGCGCAUCUGACACCCUUGGGGGGGAAACCAUUGUCUAAUCCUUCUCUUUACAGACGAUUGGUUGGCAGCUUAGUUUACCUCACAGUUACUCGUCCAGACAUCUCCUAUGCUGUUCAUCAAGUGAGCCAGUAUUUGUCUGCUCCACGAUCAACUCACUAUGCUGCUGUUCUGCGCAUUCUUCGAUACCUGAAGGGUACCCUUUUUCAUGGCCUUUUCUACUCAGCCCAGUCUCCUCUUGUACUCCGUGCAUUCUCAGAUGCUGAUUGGGCAGGAGAUCCUACUGAUCGCAGGUCCACUACAGGUUAUUGCUUCCUCCUUGGUUCUUCUUUGAUUUCUUGGCGAAGUAAGAAACAAACCUUUGUGGCCCGCUCCAAUACUGAAGCAGAAUAUCGUGCCCUUGCUGAUACCACAUCUGAGCUCCUUUGGCUAAGAUGGCUCCUUAAGGAUUUGGGUGUAUCCACCUCCUCUGCUACUCCUCUCUAUUGUGACAACCAGAGUGCUAUUCAUAUUGCUCACAAUGAUGUCUUUCAUGAACGGACUAAACACAUCGAGAUUGAUUGUCAUUUUAUCCGUUAUCAUCUUCUCCAUGGUGCUCUUAAGCUUUUCUCCGUCUCCUCCAAAGAUCAACUUGCAGAUAUCUUCACCAAGUCUCUUCCUAAGAGACGCACUCGUGAUUUAGUUGACAACCUCAAGUUGGUCUCACAUCCACCUUGAAGUUGAGGGGGGCUGUUAAAGUAUAUUGUAUUGUGGGCUCUAGGCCCAGGGGCCCAGUUAGGUUACUUGUAUAGUACUUGUACUAUACACCUGUACUACACCUUUGUACUACACUUGUACUACACCUUUGUACUACACUUGUACUACACCUUUGUACUGCACCCUUGUACUACACAUAUAUGCCUCCUAUAUAAAGGCACUGAUGUAUAAUCUUUUACUCACAGAAUAGAAUACAAUUAUUCUAUAUUUCUAACAGGCUCGAGCAUGCUGAAAAGAAGCCAUCUGGAUCCCGCUCAGAAUCCUGUUUCUGGGCUGAGGUAGAGGACCUCCGCAUUAAAACUAGAAGCAACGGAUCCUCUCCAGAAAUUAAGCAGAAGGUUCAGCAACUGGGGCAAAAUCUAAUUAAAUGGAUUGAUGAUGCAUCUUUAGGCAAGGAUGUGUUGUUGGAGAAUUCCACCUUUGUUAAAUGGUGGAAACCCCUUCCUCCUGAGUAUAAAUCAGAACCCGAAUCAUCUCGCAUUAUGAAACUCAUCCAUUAGAAAGAUUGAGAGGGUUUCAUGCUGUUAUCUCGAGGCAUUUGUUCAAAGCCAAUAACAGCAAUAACCCUGAAUGUAUGCAAAAUCCUGUUUCCUGUAUUAAUUAGUAUGCAAAAUCCUAUUUU
rnacentral:lncRNA from 1 species